rnacentral:tRNA from 1 species
UCCCCGGUGGCUCAGGCGGUAAAGCGUCUGCCUACAAUGCGGGAGACCCGGGUUCAAUCCCUGGGUCGGGAA